rnacentral:rRNA from 1 species
AUUGAACGCUGGCGGCAGGCCUAACACAUGCAAGUCGAGCGAGCGGCGGACGGGUGAGUAAUGUAUGGGGACUGCCCGAUGGAGGGGGAUAACUACUGGAAACGGUGGCUAAUACCGCAUACUAUCGGAUAACCCAUAUGGGAUUAGCUAGUAGGUGGGGUAAAGGCUCACCUAGGCGACGAUCUCUAGCUGGUCUGAGAGGAUGAUCAGCCACACUGGAACUGAUACACGGCCCAGACUCCUACGGAGGCAGCAGUGGGGAAUAUUGCACAAUGGGCGCAAGCCUGAUGCAGCCAUGCCGCGUGUAUGAAGAAGGCCUUAGGGGUGUAAAGUACUUUCAGUCGGGAGGCGUUACCGACAGAAGAAGCACCGGCUAACUCCGUGCCAGCAGCCGCGGUAAUUC